rnacentral:rRNA from 1 species
CACGUAGGGGACGAGCGUUGUCCGGAAUCAUUGGGCGUAAAGGGUGCGUAGGCGGCGCGGUAAGUCGGGUGUGAAAUCUCGGGGCUUAACUCCGAAACUGCAUUCGAUACUGCCGUGCUUGAGGACUGGAGAGGAGACUGGAAUUUACGGUGUAGCGGUGAAAUGCGUAGAUAUCGUAAGGAAGACCAGUGGCGAAGGCGGGUCUCUGGACAGUUCCUGACGCUGAGGCACGAAGGCCAGGGGAGCAAACGGG